rnacentral:rRNA from 1 species
UACGGGGGGGGCAAGCGUUGUUCGGAAUUACUGGGCGUAAAGGGCGCGUAGGCGGCCUGUUAAGUCAGACGUGAAAUCCCUCGGCUUAACCGGGGAACUGCGUCUGAUACUGGAUGGCUGGAGUUUGGGAGAGGGAUGCGGAAUUCCAGGUGUAGCAGUGAAAUGCGUAGAUAUCGUAAGGAACGCCAGUGGCGAAAGCGAAUCUCUGGGCAGCAACUGACGCUGAGGCACGAAGGCCAGGGGAGCAAACGGG